GGACAGAAAGACCCUAUGAAGCUUGACUGUAGCUUGGAAUUGGGUUCGGGCUUUUUUUGCGCAGUCUAGGUGGGAGGCGUUGAAAUUCAAUUUUCGGAUUGGGUGGAGCCGUUAGUGAGAGACCACUCUGAAAAAGCUAGAAUUCUAAUAGGACUCCUUGAAUCAGGAUCCUUGACAGUUUCAGGUGGGCAGUUUGACUGGGGCGGUCGCCUCCUAAAAGAUAACGGAGGCGCGCAAAGGUUCCCUCAGGCUGGUUGGAAAUCAGCCGGAGAGUGUAAAGGCACAAGGGAGCUUGACUGCGAGAGAGACAUCUCAAGCAGGUAGGAAACUAGGCCUUAGUGAUCCGACGGCGCUGAGUGGAAGGGCCGUCGCUCAACGGAUAAAAGUUACUCUAGGGAUAACAGGCUGA
rnacentral:rRNA from 1 species